CGUUGAGUGUACCUGUSGAAUAAGCACCGGCUAACUACGUGCCAGCAGCCGCGGUAAUACGUAGGGUGCAAGCGUUAUCCGGAAUUAUUGGGCGUAAAGGGCUCGUAGGCGGUUCGUCGCGUCCGGUGUGAAAGCCCAUCGCUUAACGGUGGGUCUGCGCCGGGUACGGGCGGGCUGGAGUGCGGUAGGGGAGACUGGAAUUCCCGGUGUAACGGUGGAAUGUGUAGAUAUCGGGAGGAACACCAAUGGCGAAGGCAGGUCUCUGGGCCGUUACUGACGCUGAGGAGCGAAAGCGUGGGGAGCGAACAGGAUUAGAUACCCUGGUAGUCCACGCCGUAAACGGUGGAUGCUGGAUGUGGGGCCCUUUCCACGGGUCCCGUGUCGGAGCCAACGCGUUAAGCAUCCCGCCUGGGGAGUACGGCCGCAAGGCUAAAACUCAAAGAAAUUGACGGGGGCCCGCACAAGCGGCGGAGCAUGCGGAUUAAUUCGAUGCAACGCGAAGAACCUUACCUGGGCUUGACAUGUUCCCGACGACUCCAGAGAUGGGGUUUCCCUUCGGGGCGGGUUCACAGGUGGUGCAUGGUCGUCGUCAGCUCGUGUCGUGAGAUGUUGGGUUAAGUCCCGCAACGAGCGCAACCCUCGCCCCGUGUUGCCAGCAGUUCGGCUGGGGACUCACGGGGGACCGCCGGGGUCAACUCGGAGGAAGGUGGGGAUGACGUCAGAUCAUCAUGCCCCUUACGUCCAGGGCUUCACGCAUGCUACAAUGGCCGGUACAGCGGGAUGCGACAUGGCGACAUGGAGCGGAUCCCUGAAAACCGGUCUCAGUUCGGAUUGGAGUCUGCAACCCGACUCCAUGAAGGCGGAGUCGCUAGUAAUCGCGGAUCAGCAACGCCGCGGUGAAUGCGUUCCCGGGCCUUGUACACACCGCCCGUCAAGUCAUGAAAGUGGGCAGCACCCGAAGCCGGUGGCCUAACCCGUGAGGGGUGGAGCCGUCUAAGGUGAGGCUCGUGAUUGGGACUAAGUCGUA
rnacentral:rRNA from 1 species